rnacentral:rRNA from 1 species
AAAAACAUUUCCUCUUGGUAUAAGAGGUAAGGCCUGCUCACUGACUAGGUUGAAGAGCCGCAGUAUAUUGACUGUGCUAAGGUAGCAUAAUCAUUAGUCCUUUAAUUGGGGACUGGUAUGAAUGGCUAAACGAGAAAUUAGCUUUCUUUGUUAUGGUUUGUUGAAUUUAACUUGUAAGUGAAAAGGCUUACAUGAUUCAGAAAGACGAGAAGACCCUAUAGAGUUUUACAAAGGCCUAAAAUACAGCUUAUUAGUUUUUAAGGGUUAUACUUUGGAAAUUUGUUUGGUUGGGGCGACAUAAAGAUAAAAAAAACUCUUUGAAGUAUAAACUUUGGUGGAAGAAAAGGUUUGAUCCUCUAAAAGGGAUUAUAAGAAAAAAUUACCUUAGGGAUAACAGCGUAAUCUUCUUUUAGAGUUCAAAUCGACAAGAAGGUUUGCGACCUCGAUGUUGGACUAAAAUUUGGGCAAGGUGCAGCAGCUUUGUUUUUGGGUCUGUUCGACCCGUAAUAUUUUACAUGAUCUGAGUU